rnacentral:rRNA from 1 species
UACGUAGGGUGCAAGCGUUGUCCGGAAUUAUUGGGCGUAAAGAGCUCGUAGGCGGUCUGUCGCGUCUGCUGUGAAAACUCGGGGCUUAACCCCGGGCCUGCAGUGGGUACGGGCAGACUAGAGUGUGGUAGGGGAGACUGGAAUUCCUGGUGUAGCGGUGGAAUGCGCAGAUAUCAGGAGGAACACCGAUGGCGAAGGCAGGUCUCUGGGCCAUUACUGACACUGAGAAGCGAAAGCAUGGGGAGCGAACAGG